rnacentral:rRNA from 1 species
ACGCUGGCGGCGUGCCUAACACAUGCAAGUCGAGCGGGGACAUACGACGGAGUCAAAGUUUCGGAUGGAGACGAAGAUGUAUGUUCUAGCGGCGGACGGGUGAGUAACGCGUGAGCAACCUGUCCCUUACAGGGGGAUAACACAGCGAAAGUUGUACUAAUACCGCAUGAGACCACGGGUGGACAUCUACCAGGGGUCAAAGGAGCAAUCCGGUAAGGGGUGGGCUCGCGUCCGAUUAGAUAGUUGGUGAGGUAACGGCCCACCAAGUCGACGAUCGGUAGCCGACCUGAGAGGGUGAUCGGCCACAUUGGGACUGAGACACGGCCCAAACUCCUACGGGAGGCAGCAGUGGGGAAUAUUGGGCAAUGGGGGGAAACCCUGACCCAGCAACGCCGCGUGAGGGAAGAAGGUUUUCGGAUCGUAAACCUCUGUCCUUGGUGAAGAGGAAGAGACGGUAGCCAAGGAGGAAGCCCCGGCUAACUACGUGCCAGCCGCAGC